rfam:Bacillus thuringiensis serovar israelensis ATCC 35646 sq1726, whole genome shotgun sequence.
GGUUAAGUUAGAAAGGGCGCACGGUGGAUGCCUUGACACUAGGAGUCGAUGAAGGACGGGACUAACGCCGAUAUGCUUCGGGGAGCUGUAAGUAAGCUUUGAUCCGAAGAUUUCCGAAUGGGGAAACCCACUAUACGUAAUGGUAUGGUAUCCUUACCUGAAUACAUAGGGUAUGGAAGACAGACCCAGGGAACUGAAACAUCUAAGUACCUGGAGGAAGAGAAAGCAAAUGCGAUUUCCUGAGUAGCGGCGAGCGAAACGGAACAUAGCCCAAACCAAGAGGCUUGCCUCUUGGGGUUGUAGGACAUUCUAUACGGAGUUACAAAGGAACGAGGUAGACGAAGCGACCUGGAAAGGUCCGUCGUAGAGGGUAACAACCCCGUAGUCGAAACUUCGUUCUCUCUUGAAUGUAUCCUGAGUACGGCGGAACACGUGAAAUUCCGUCGGAAUCUGGGAGGACCAUCUCCCAAGGCUAAAUACUCCCUAGUGAUCGAUAGUGAACCAGUACCGUGAGGGAAAGGUGAAAAGCACCCCGGAAGGGGAGUGAAAGAGAUCCUGAAACCGUGUGCCUACAAAUAGUCAGAGCCCGUUAAUGGGUGAUGGCGUGCCUUUUGUAGAAUGAACCGGCGAGUUACGAUCCCGUGCAAGGUUAAGCUGAAGAGGCGGAGCCGCAGCGAAAGCGAGUCUGAAUAGGGCGUUUAGUACGUGGUCGUAGACCCGAAACCAGGUGAUCUACCCAUGUCCAGGGUGAAGUUCAGGUAACACUGAAUGGAGGCCCGAACCCACGCACGUUGAAAAGUGCGGGGAUGAGGUGUGGGUAGCGGAGAAAUUCCAAUCGAACCUGGAGAUAGCUGGUUCUCCCCGAAAUAGCUUUAGGGCUAGCCUUAAGUGUAAGAGUCUUGGAGGUAGAGCACUGAUUGAACUAGGGGUCCUCAUCGGAUUACCGAAUUCAGUCAAACUCCGAAUGCCAAUGACUUAUCCUUAGGAGUCAGACUGCGAGUGAUAAGAUCCGUAGUCAAGAGGGAAACAGCCCAGAUCGCCAGCUAAGGUCCCAAAGUGUGUAUUAAGUGGAAAAGGAUGUGGAGUUGCUUAGACAACUAGGAUGUUGGCUUAGAAGCAGCCACCAUUUAAAGAGUGCGUAAUAGCUCACUAGUCGAGUGACUCUGCGCCGAAAAUGUACCGGGGCUAAAUACACCACCGAAGCUGCGAAUUGAUACCGAUGGUAUCAGUGGUAGGGGAGCGUUCUAAGUGCAGUGAAGUCAGACCGGAAGGACUGGUGGAGCGCUUAGAAGUGAGAAUGCCGGUAUGAGUAGCGAAAGACGGGUGAGAAUCCCGUCCACCGAAUGCCUAAGGUUUCCUGAGGAAGGCUCGUCCGCUCAGGGUUAGUCAGGACCUAAGCCGAGGCCGACAGGCGUAGGCGAUGGACAACAGGUUGAUAUUCCUGUACCACCUCUUUAUCGUUUGAGCAAUGGAGGGACGCAGAAGGAUAGAAGAAGCGUGCGAUUGGUUGUGCACGUCCAAGCAGUUAGGCUGAUAAGUAGGCAAAUCCGCUUAUCGUGAAGGCUGAGCUGUGAUGGGGAAGCUCCUUAUGGAGCGAAGUCUUUGAUUCCCCGCUGCCAAGAAAAGCUUCUAGCGAGAUAAAAGGUGCCUGUACCGCAAACCGACACAGGUAGGCGAGGAGAGAAUCCUAAGGUGUGCGAGAGAACUCUGGUUAAGGAACUCGGCAAAAUGACCCCGUACUUCGGGAGAAGGGGUGCUUUCUAACGGAAGCCGCAGUGAUAGCUCGAUUUGCCUAUAGAG